rnacentral:lncRNA from 1 species
CAGGGCGCAUGCUCCGCUCGCUUUUUAUGAAUGGGGGGCCGGAAAGGAGCGCGUCGCGGGCUGCGAAGGUUGGAGCCGGCUGCGGCUUUUUAUGAAUGGAGGCAGGCGGCAGCUGCGCGCGCACCGUCCCCAGCCGGGCCCGAGAAAGUGGCUUCUGCAGGAGCCUCUCAUCAGACUGGUGCCUCGUAUGAGUGGCCCCUAAUUGAAGCAGUAUCAGCUCUGUGCACAUUUCGUCCAUUUUCCCUCUCACUUGUCUUCUUGCACAGUGGCUGUUGACCCCGCUUAGUGUUUCUGGAUAUUGCACAUCGCUGAGGCAGGGCCUGUUUUGUCGGGGAGCUCCCUUCCGGUAGAAAUAACAGAACUUGUGAAACCUAGUGCAAGAUUGAUCGUUUCAGUUUGGAAACUGAAGGUAGAAGAGCAGAUAUUGAGCGAGUGCUCGGUCACUUGGGGCUGCCUUCUGAGAUUCUGGGGCGAAUUCACAGAGCUGAGUACUGGGGGACACAACUCACCUGGACUUUUGCACAUCCUCAGAGGUGUUCAGAUUCUUAUCUCCAAUCCUGAUGCGAGUGAAGAAAUGUGACCCUCCUCCUGUUCAAGUAUCACACAGGGCUCAAUCGUGACACUAGAACUAUUGCUGCUUCUGUUCCCAAGGGUGAUGCAGUUUCGAGUAUUGUUAGUACUGUUUAGGAUUACUUUUCCUAAUCCUAAUCCUUACAACAGACUACAAGAUGCUAUUUGAAAUGGACAGUGUGUGCCCAGCUUUAAGUAAAGAUUUAAUUUCUGGGAUCACUAGUGAUUACUGGUUAAUGUUUGUACAGCACAGUGAGAGAGAUCCUCAGGCAAGUGCCAAGUACAGGUACUCCUACACUUGUGUGAGGGAGGCACACUAAGGGUCCACGUUUCUGACAGCGCUGUCACACAGUCAAGGAGGAAGUGCCUGAG